rnacentral:rRNA from 1 species
AUUCCAGCUCCAAUAGCGUAUAUUAAAGUUGUUGCAGUUAAAAAGCUCGUAGUCGGAUUUUGGCAUCACGCCGAACUGUCUGCCGAUUGGUAAGUACGGUUUGGCGGGUGCUUCCUUCCGGAGGCUCGUUCCCUUCUUCAUUGAAGGGUUCGUUGGUUCCGGGUCUUUUACUUUGAGAAAAUUAGAGUGUUCAAAGCAGGCCUAUGCUCUGAAUAGGUUAGCAUGGAAUAAUAGAAUAGGACUUUGGUUCUACUUUGUUGGUUUUCGGGACUCGACAUAAUGAUAAAUAGGGACAGUCGGGGGCAUUUGUAUUCAAACGACAGAGGUGAAAUUCUUGGACCGUUUGAAGACAAACUACUGCGAAAGCAUUUGCCAAGAAUGUUUUCAUCG